rnacentral:misc_RNA from 1 species
UGACAACAUCUCCCUUCUCUCCUUCGGACAGAUCUUCUGACAUAUCAGCAGUUGCAUCUCGACGCCCUCUUUCACGUUCAAGGCGGCGUUUAGAUUGGCGAAGAGCUUCCUCACCCUCAAUCUGCUUCUUCUUCCUCGCAAGGUUCCAGAUCCUCCAGCACAUGUUCUCCAGCCGCGUGUUCCGCUCCUGCGGACUCCGCGUCGCCGCCG